rnacentral:lncRNA from 1 species
AAAAAAAAAAAAAAAAAAAAAAAAAAAAAGUGUAAGGUGAAGUAGUGUAGCAAGUGCUGAUGUAAAAGCUGCAGCAAUUUGGCCAGAGGAUCAGGCUAAGACCAUUGAUGAAGAUGAAACAGGCUUAUAUUGAAGAAGAUGCCAUUUAGGAGUUUAAUAGCUAGAGAGAGGAAGUUGACGCCUAGCUUAAAGCUUCAAAGGAUAUGCUGACUCCCUUUUUAGGGGCAAAUGCAGAUGAUGACUUCCAGUUGAAGCCAAUGUUCCUUUACCAUUCUGAAAAUCCUAGGGCCUGUAAGAAUUAUCAAAAUCUACUCUGCCUGUGCUCUAUAAAUGAAACAACAAAGCCAGGAUGACAGUACAUUUGUUUACAGCAAGGUUUAAUGAAUAUUUUAAGCCCACUGUUGAAACCUACUGCUCAGAAAAAAAGAUUCCUCUCAAAAUAUUUUUACUCAUUGACAAUGCACAUGGUCACCCAAGAACUCUAACGGAGAUUAAUAAGGAAAUUAAUGUUGUUUUUAUGCAUGCUAGCACAACAUCUAAUCUGCAGCCCCUGGAUCAAAGAGUAGUUUCAACUUUCCAGCCUUGUUACGUAAGGAAUACAAAAGAUUCACCAAUUUAGAUGUCAUUGAAAACAUAUGUGAUUCACAGGAGAAGGUCAAAAUAGCAACAUUAACAGGAUUUGGAAGGCGUUGGUUCAACCCUCAUGGAUGAUUUUGAGGGUUUCAAGAUUUCGCUGGAGGAAAUAACUGCAGAUAUGGUGGAAACAGCAGGAGAACUGGAAUUAGAAGUAUGGCCUGAAGAUGGGACUGAAUUUCUGCAAUCUCAUGGUAAAAUGUGAAUGGAUGAAGAGUUGCUUCUUAUAGAUGAGCAAAUAAAGUGAUUUAUUGAGAUGGAAUCAACUCCUGGUGAAGAUAUUGUGAACAUUGUUGAAAUGACGACAAAGGAUAUAGAAUAUUUCAUAAACUUAAUUGAUAUACCAGUAGCAGGGUUUGAGAGGAUUAAUUAGUUUUGAAAGAAGUUCUACUAUGGAUCAAAUGGUAUCAAACAGCAUCACAUGCUACAGAGAGAUAUUUCUUGACAGGAGGAGUCACUCAAUGUGGUAAACUUCAUUGUUUUCUAUUUGAAGAAAUUGCCACAGCCAACCCAACCUCAAUAGAUUACAGUAGAAUGUGAACAUAACUAUUACAUAUACUAGAAAACCAAAAACUGUCUGUGAUUCACUUGAUUGCUAUAUUGGCGUUGUCGCCGUGAUCUGAAAUGGAACUCGCAAUAUCUUUUAAGUAUUUUAAGUAUUUUGUGUAUGUAAUAAUACAAAUAUUGGGGGGGUAUUUAUCAGAGUAGUUUCAGUGGUAUCUCUAAAGAGACAGGCAGAUUUGAAUAGCUGAAAGAAUGUGGAUAUAGUAAGUAAAGAAAUAACUUUCAAAAGUUUAGCUAUAUAAAGGAGAAAGGUUAGCAACUAGAGGAUAAGUUAUUUUUGAUGAGGUGAAAGUUGAGCAUAUUAAAAGCCAUGAGGGGGCCGGGCACAGUGGCUCACACACACCUGUAAUCCCAGCUACUAAGGAGCCUAAGGCAGGAGGAUGUCUUGAGGCCAGGAGAUUGCGGCUGCAGUGAGCCAUGAUGGUGUCACUGCAUUGUAGCCUGGGUGACAGAGUGAGACCCAGUUGCACACACACACACACACACAAAAGCAUUAGAGAGGGAUGCUUUAGAAAAUAAAGUAUUGAAGGUAAAGACGGGGGAGGGGAUGAUCUUUAAAAAGUUAUCUGAGGGCCAGGCGUGGUGGCUCAUGCCUGUAAUCCUAGCACUUUGGGAGGCUGAGGCAGGCAGAUCACUUGAGGUCGGGAGUUCGAGACCAGCCUGGCCAACAUGGUGAAACGCCGUCUCUACUAAACCCAAGAGGUGGAGGUGGUUACAGUGAGCCAAGAUGGGGCCACUGCACUCCAGCCUGGUUAACAGAGUGAGACUCCAUCUCAAAAAAAAAAAAAAAAUGUUAUCGUGAAAGCAGAAGAGAAUAAUACCUGGCUUAUACUUGAGAAAGGUAUUAGCCUUACAGAAGAAGAAAGAAACCCCUUACAAUGUGACAGAAGAAGAUACACAUAUGGAUGCAGACAAAGAUGUAAGUUUGUUUGCAGAAAGAAAGUGAGGUCUUUCUCACUAUUGUAAGGGAGAAAGGAAAGGAGUAGGAAGUUGAAGCGACUGGUAAAGGUUUAAAUCACUGCUAUGAUGAAUAUGAAAGAACUGAGUAGAGAUGCAUAGGGGAGUUAUAGGCACUGGAGAAUCAGUUGAGAUUAAAGAAUCUGGAUGUAUGUGGCAUCAGACUACAUGAUUAUGAGAUAUCUCCAGCAGUGAUCAUGUGGUCAACAAACAAGAUUUAGAAAAAAAGACUUUUCUGUUUUAUUUCAACUAUUUGGCAUGUCAGCUUUACUUAGAAUAACAGAAGUAU